GUAGUCCCCGCGUUCCAUAAAUUGCUCACGCACGGGGCGGCGGGAGAACUGCAUACGCCAUCAUGGUGGUGCCCCGUUGCCGCGCGUUGUUUCGCUUCGAGUUUUGUCCGGGGCGGGGGUCUGGGCUUUAGGCUGGUAGUAUUUAGUUUCACAAUGUUUGGGGACCUAUUUGAAGAAGAUUAUUCCAGUGUGUCAAAUAAUAAUGGAAAAGGGAAGAGAUUAAAGACCAAUGCUUUGGAGCCACCUGCUCCUAGAGAAUUCACCAAUUUAAGUGGAAUCAGAAAUCAGGGUGGAACCUGUUACCUCAAUUCCCUUCUUCAGACUCUUCAUUUCACACCUGAAUUCAGAGAAGCUUUAUUCUCUCUUGGCCCGGAAGAGCUUGGUUCGUUAGAGGACAAGGAUAAACCUGAUGCAAAGGUCCGAAUCAUACCUUUGCAGUUACAGCGGUUGUUUGCACAGCUUCUCCUCUUAGACCAGGAAGCUGCAUCCACAGCUGACCUCACUGACAGCUUUGGGUGGACCAGUGAUGAGGAAAUGAGGCAACAUGAUGUGCAGGAACUGAAUCGAAUUCUCUUUAGUGCUUUGGAAACUUCUUUAGUUGGAACCUCCGGCCAUGACCUCAUCAACCGUCUAUAUCACGGAACCAUUGUUAACCAGAUUGUUUGUAAAGAAUGUAAGAAUGUCAGUGAAAAGCAGGAAGAUUUCCUAGAUCUAACAGUAGCAGUCAAAAAUGUAUCAGGUUUGGAAGAUGCACUCUGGAACAUGUAUGUAGAGGAGGAAGUUUUUGACUAUGACAACUUAUACCACUGUGGAAACUGUGACAGGCUGGUUAAAGCAGCAAAGUCGGCCAAAUUACGUAAGCUGCCUCCCUUUCUUACAAUUUCAUUAUUAAGAUUUAAUUUUGAUUUUGUGAAGUGUGAACGAUACAAGGAAACAAGCUGUUAUACAUUCCCUCUCCGGAUCAAUCUCAAGCCUUUUUGUGAACAGAGUGAAUUAGAUGACUUGGAAUAUAUGUAUGACCUCUUCUCAGUUAUUAUACACAAAGGUGGUUGCUAUGGAGGACAUUAUCACGUGUAUAUUAAAGAUGUCGAUCAUUUGGGAAACUGGCAGUUUCAAGAGGACAAAAGUAAACCAGAUGUGAAUUUGGAAGAUAUUCAGAAUAAAGAGGAGAUUGAUGAUCCAUUGAUGAUUCUAAAAGCAAUUUUAUUACAGGAGGAGAGUAAUCUAAUUCCCGUUGAUCAGCUGGGCCAGAAACUCUUGAAGAAGAUAGGAAUAUCUUGGAAUAAGAAGUACCGAAAACAGUAUGGACCACUGCGAAAGUUUUUGCAGGUUCAUUCUCAGAUAUUUCUGCUCAGUUCAGAUGAAAGUACAGUUCGUCUGUUGAAGGAUUCUUCUCUCCAGGCUGAGUCUGAUAUCCAAAGAAAUGAUCAACGGCUUUUCAAGACACUUACUUCAGAAUCCUUAACAUUAAAUGAUAGACCCUCCUGUCCCCACUGGUUUGAUAUAAAUGAUUCCAGAGUCCAACCAAUCAAGGAAAAGGAUAUUGAACAGCAAUUUCAAGGAAAAGAAAGUGCCUACAUGCUAUUUUAUCGGAAAUCCCAGUUACGGAGACCCCCUGAAGCUCGAGCUAACCCACGAUACAAGGUUCCACAUCAUUUGCUGAGUGAAAUGGAUGCAGCUAACAUUGAACUACAAAUAAAAAGGGCAGAAUGUGAUUCUACAAACAAUACUGUUGAGUUGCAUCUCCACCUCGGCCCCCAUUAUCAUUUCUUCAAUGGGGCUCUGCACCCAGUUGUAUCUCAAACAGAAAGCAUGUGGGAUUUGACCUUUGAUAAAAGGAAAACUUUAGGAGAUCUUCGACAAUCAAUAUUUCAGCUGUUAGAAUUUUGGGAAGGAGAUAUGGUUCUUAGUGUUGCAAAGUUUGUACCAGCAGGACUUCAUGUUUGCCAGACACUUAAUGGAGAUGACCUGGCACUGUGUGAAAUUGAAAUCGCUGACGGAGAAGACAUCUUUGUAUGGAAUGGGGUAGAGGUUGGCGGAAUCCAGAUUCCAACCGGUAGCGACUGUGAACCUCUGCUUUUAAAUGUUCUUCAUGUAGCAACAAGCGGUGAGGGAGAGGAGUGCCAGCAGUUGAUAGAAUCUCCACAUGUCUUUCCAUCUAAUGCGGAAAUAGGCACUGUAUUCACAGCCCUAGCAAUUCCAGAGGGAGUCAUCUUAAUCAACAACACUGAAUCUAGAGGUGAAGAGAACUGGACCACCAUUCCCAAGGAAGACUUGAAAAAGACAUUCAGAGAGCAAGGCCUCAGAAAUGGAAGCUCAGUUUUAAUCCAGGGCUCUAAUGAUGGUAACAGUUUGUUGACAAAACAAGGGAAAUGGAUCAAUACUGUGAAUGAGAUCAACUGGCUCCAAGUUAAAAAUUUAAGCCAAUUAGAAUCUGAAGAGGAGCAAGUUAAAAUAUCAGCAACUCUUAACACAGUGGUGUUUGAUAUUCGAAUUAAAGCCAUAAAGGAAUUAAAAUUAUUGAAGGAACUAGCUGAGAACAGCUGUUUGAGGCCUAUUGAUAGAAAUGGGAAACUGCUUUGUCCAGUGCCAGACAGAUGCACUCUGAAGGAAGCAGGACUGAAGAUGGGGAGUUCACUGGGACUGUGUCCUGGAAAAGCACCAACUUCCUCUCAGCUGUUCCUGUUUUUCGCUUUGGGGAGUGAUGUUCACCCUGGGACAGAGAUGGAGAUCAUAGUAGAGGAAACAAUAUCUGUGAGGGAUUGUCUGAAGAUAAUGCUGGACAAAUGUGGCCUCACAGGAGAAACAUGGCAUUUACGAAAAAUGGAUUGGUGCUUUGAAGCUGGGGAGCCUUUAUGUGAAGAAGAUGCAAAGCUGAAAGAGCUUAUGAUCUGUUCUGGAGAUACUUUGCUUUUAACUGAAGGAAAACUUCCUCCUCUGGGUUUCCUGACGGUGCCCAUCUGGUGGUACCAGCCUCAGGGGCCGCUGCCUCACUGGAAGGAUCACCAGGACCAGACGAAUUGUACCCUUUCUCAAGGCAGCGUCUGGAAAGCCAGUUCCACCCCAGGUGCUCCCAGUGACGCACACGCGGAAGUUUCCCUCUGGUACUUGGGAGACCUUGAAAUCUCAGAAGAUGCCACCUUAGGGGAGCUGAAGUCUCAGGCCAUGACCUUGCCCUCCUUGGAGUUUUCCAUCCCAUCCCCAGCCUUCCUCAGAGCCUGGACAGUGGAGAGUAAGCGCCCAGGCCGGCUCUUGCGAGGCCACCAGCAGCAGCUCAAGGAAUAUAAAUUGGGAAAGAGAACUGAGAUCUGCUUAGAGCCCCUUCAGAAAGAAGAAAACUUGGGCCCCUGGGACGUGCUGCUGCGGACACAGAUGCGCCUUCCUGGCGAGAGAGCCUAUGGCCCGCCCGUGGACGUGCUGUGGGACACAGCCCGCGGCUGGACGGCCAGCUCCCUGAGGCAGCGAGUGGCCGACGUCUACUCACUUCCCGUGGAGAAAAUUGAAAUUGCCAAAUACUUUCCUGACAAGUUUGCAUGGCUUCCAGUGUCUAGUUGGAACCAGCAAACUACCAAAAGGAAAAAGAAGAAAAAGCAAGAUAAUUUGCAGGGUGCACCUUAUUACUUGAAAGAUGGAGAUACUAUUGGUGUUAAGGCGAUCAGUAGACCCGGACAGAGAGCGGCCUGUGGGAGCGGCAAGCCUGACGAAUUUCCUGGUUGAAGACGAUGAUGAUUUCAGUACCGUCCGAGACGACAUCGGAAGAGAAAAACAGAAAGAGCUCGCCCUGGGGAAAAGGAAAAGCCGGGAGGCCCUCCGUGUGCAGUGCAGCGACGUCUCUACUGGAGAGACGCCCGCCCGGGCCCGUGGACCAGAAGCUUCUCUCUCCAUCCAUGUCGGGAGCUUCAGAUAGCGCUGCGGGUGGGGCCAGACAGCAUGGGACUUCGGCACUCCCACUCCAGGUGCCCAGGAGCAGGCCCGCUGCUCUCUGUCCUGUGCGGACACGGACUCCAGACCCCUGCUUUGUCACCAGCAGAGGGGGCUUUGAUCUCAGGCCAGCUGACCGCGCUUCUCCCAGCCUUGUGGAGCGUCCCCCGGGGGCCGGCACACACUGCCCAGCCCCCUCACCCUGCACUCGACGCCCCGCACGUCUUUACGUGAAAGGCUCUUUACGUGAAAGGCGGUUCGUUCCGCACUAACUGCAGGUGAAGAUGCGGCGGCACGUUGCUAAUCUCCGCCAGAGCGCCCGUUCAAGCUCGCUGGCCCCACUCUCCUCCUCCCGCUGUCGAGGUGACGCUCUGUACCCAGUCCCCCAGGUUUUGACGGCUCACGUCACAGAAACUGGCUCCCAGACAGCACCGUUCCCCUUGGGGCUGAGUUAGGUCUGUGAUUUUAAAGCGUUCCUUCUCUUCCCCGGUGGGACACCCUCUGAGUCAGGUAUGUGCUGCCGGGGCACUGGCCGCCCCGCCAGCCUGUGCUGUCCGAGGUCGGGGGUCCUCACGGCUGCAGGCCUGCUGCCUGCGGGGCCGCGUGUCUCCCCGUCCGGGGGCUCGACCGGGAAGGAGGGGGGGGGGUCACAACAGACAGGCCUGGAGGGCUGGGGACCAGCCCUGAGCAGCCGUGAUUAAAAUAGGAGAGAAGGAAAAUGCGGGCCCAGAUUCUUCCUAAUUCGGCAUGGCUUAGCUGUCAGUUUAAAAGGUUUAAUAGAUAUUUAUGACAAAUAGAGCAUGUGUGUUGAUGGAUUUAGGACACUGGGGUGAUUCACUGUCUCAAGCUAACUCAGUCCAAAGCAGGAAUUCCUAAGAAGAAAAUACCUCCCCAGAUCUCAGUGAUGCUUUAUUGCAACUGUGCUAAGUACAGUUAUCAUCUUGAUUUUACACACUUUAAUCAGCCUUUUUGGAGAAGGAAAUGGCAACCCACUCCAGUAGUCUUGCCUGGAGAAUCCCACGGACAAAGGAGCCGGGCCGGGGUACAGCCCUUGGGGUCGCAGAGUCGGACACAACUGAGCGACUAACACACACACAUCAGCCCUUUUAUCACUGAUACUAAAAUAGCUCUGAACUGUUACGAGAAGAAAAUGACACGCGUGGACUGGGGUCUUCGCCUGCGCCCCCGGCCUGAGGAAUUGAGGGGCUGUCGCCGCGCCCCAGCUGCUCUUCCAGACGCUGACGGGACAGAGGAGUGAAAGGCCGCCUUUCCUUCCUCUGCCCUCCCCCCAGACGGCGUCAGCACCGCCGUUAGAAACCCUCCUCUCAUCUGUGUGUGCGUCAGGAAUCACGUGCUGGUGGGUGUGGAAGCAGCUGUGUUUUAAGAAGUUGGACUUGGGCGAGUGCUUCCGGCUCUUCAGCUCCAACUCCGUCUCAGGAGACCCAGGCGACUCUCCAGGGCGCCCGGUGGGCGGGGACGAUGCCACAGACUGUGCGAGGCUGGCCCCAUGCCCCGUCCAGGGCUCCCUGUGCCCCUUCGUUCCACCGUAACCCGACAGUAAGGUAACAGCCGUAACAGCCUGAAGCCAGAGGCCUCAAGGGAGGUCACUCACCACAAGAAAAGGUCGAGGUGCCUCAGGCGUGUGCCUGGUCUCUGCUCCCCUCCUUCCGCAUUGGAAGCGGGGCUACAGGGAGAAAGCGCUAAGAUUUUGUUAAAGAUAAGCUGUUGAAUUUGCAACCUCCUGCCUCUGUGCUGACUGCUUCAUGUUCUGGCCUUCUUCCCAAGUGAACUUCAGGUGCUAAGUCGCUGGGGUUUAUAUUAAAAAAGAUCAGUACUGCUUUAGAAAUAACAGAAAAAAAGAACAGAACUGUGUUUUGGUUUUAAAUAAACUCAGACUCAUGGGAAUAAUUAUAUUUGAAGAAA